rnacentral:lncRNA from 1 species
GUUGCUAUCUUAAAGAGAUACCGCAGCAAGAUAAUGGGGGAGCAGAUGGAUUUUGACACUCUCUUAAAAUUUAUCAACGAACUGAGUGGUCACAUCGACCUUGACGCAAUCCUCAGAGAUGCAGAAGCACUGUGUAUAUGUGCUGGUGAAAACGGGGCUGCCUGUAUACCUCCUGGAACUCCACCUUCAUUGCCUCUCGAGGAUCCCAUGGCAUAUCCUCAACUGGAUGAUGAUGUAUUGUAGAUGGCACAUGUAUAAAGAGACAUGCAAUAACGUAUAAUUAGUUUUCAGUGAUUUUUUGAUGUUUAAUAAGUACGCAUUGAUUUGAAUAGAUUGUGUGCUAUACAAGGAAUCUUCUACCUUAUCUUCAAUCUUGGGAGACACUUCCAAGUUCCAUGAUAUGUGGUCAAAGGAAUGUCUUUUCUGUAUGCUUUUGGUUUAGUGUUCUUACCGAUGGCUUUCCAUUUGAAUGUCUGCACUUGCACUGCAUACCAGGAAAUGUUCUGAUAUACUUUCAUAUUUUGAGCUAUUAACAUUCUUCUGAUUAUGCAUUUGCGAUGCAAAUGGACCAAGAGACCGGUGUUUCUCUUUGGUUGAAUAGUUAAUGCAUUUGAAGUCUUAUGCUUCUACUAAAGUGUUAACACUGGUCCAGGCAUUUAAUCCUUUAUUUUAGAAAUUGGAAAUAUCUAGUGCAGCUAGUCAAUGAAUAUCCAGAGAUACAACAUUCUUUUUCUUUUAACUGUCGCAUAGGUGCUGAGUUGCACAGGAACGUCAUAAAUGAGGUGUAUAUGCAUUGUUCCUUCCCUGUAGUCUUUUUCUUUUUUUGCUCCAAAUGACAUCCCGGUGACUUUUUCCAGCUUCUUUACGUUGGUGAAUUCUGGCAAUGAAAUAAAUUAUGUUCAGUUUAAUAGAAACCUAACAUUUAUUUGACUUUUAUCAUGCAGCUAGUGGAGUUGUUAGACACUCCAUUGCAUAACUAUUUUAUGCAGAAUGAUUGCUUGAAUUAUUUCUUCUGUUUCCGCUGGAUUCUUAUACAGUUUAAAAGGCAAGUAGACAGCUCCCUGUUUCUUAUUUACUGCGUGCAAUUUAUUGGUGUUGCAAAAUUGUUAUCUUUACAUUGACAUAAUGUGGAUUGUUUAACCAUAAUAUUUUCCCUGCCCCGUAAUAUGGUUUAGAUUGGUUGUCCAAACACUACCAUUCCGUUGCUUUAUUAAUAUUGCGACCAUAAGUAGUUACAAAGUUUGUAUGAAUUUCAAGAAAAUAACACUCUUUGGAGGAUCUUUAUAUCAUACUGAACUGCAUGAUAAAAGAUCACAGAGUUAAAAUGUCAUUUCAGAAUACUGCAUUUGUAGAACACAUAACUGUGUAGUAAUAAUAUGAUUUCAUAUAUCCUUCAUUUUGUCCUGCAGCUGAUUGCCUGAUGUUUCGCAGGGAAUUUGAAUAUGAGAAAACAAUGCGUUUGUGGGAGGUAUUAUGGACACAUUAUCUGAGUGAGCAUCUGCACCUUUACGUAUGUGUUGCUAUCUUAAAGAGAUACCGCAGCAAGAUAAUGGGGGAGCAGAUGGAUUUUGACACUCUCUUAAAAUUUAUCAACGAACUGAGUGGUCACAUCGACCUUGACGCAAUCCUCAGAGAUGCAGAAGCACUGUGUAUAUGUGCUGGUGAAAACGGGGCUGCCUGUAUACCUCCUGGAACUCCACCUUCAUUGCCUCUCGAGGAUCCCAUGGCAUAUCCUCAACUGGAUGAUGAUGUAUUGUAGAUGGCACAUGUAUAAAGAGACAUGCAAUAACGUAUAAUUAGUUUUCAGUGAUUUUUUGAUGUUUAAUAAGUACGCAUUGAUUUGAAUAGAUUGUGUGCUAUACAAGGAAUCUUCUAC